GGGACCAAUGAUGACAACAUGUCACGCCCUGUGAUUAAUCCACUUCUGAGUAGCUGGGGUCCAUU
rnacentral:snoRNA from 1 species